GAGCCCACUCCCUCCUCCACGCCCGCCAUGUUGCCCGAGAGCGCGAGGGAGUGAGACCCAGCGGCGAGAGCCCGCUCCUUCUUCACCCACCUACACCCGCGACGCCGGAAGCUGCUCUCGGUGGUAGGGGCGCAGGGAAUUCUGGGACCGCGGAGGACUCGCCUGCGGGUGCCCAGCACGCGUCUGUGCCUGGAGCCGGGCUGGGGCGGGCCAGCUGCGGUCAGACUCGUCAGACUCGCCUGCAACUUCGUCCGGGGCCCCGGACGUCCCCGGGGCAAACCUGCCCGCGCCUAGUCAAGUUUAAAAGGGAUCUUCAGCUCCAGAGUGAGGUGGAGGCGCCUUGCCUGCCGGGUCAAAUGUGUGCCUGAGAGAGAGUGAGAUGGAGGAAAAGAAAGAGAAUGCUCCCUCCACAGAAUCUGGUCAUAUUAUGACCUUCCUUUUCCAGUCCUUUAGCCCAUUGGAUACUGGCACUUAUGCAAGUGCCUGUUGUAUUUCAGGCUAACUAAGCUGGGAAUUGGAGCUGCCAUGUGGGAUCUGGCAUCUCUUGAGAAGAGCAGGACCACUAAGCCACAAUUUUCAAGUAUGAGAACGAUCCUUGAGGACGCAAUAUAAAGAAUGCAGAACAUGAAGAUGGAAUGAUGCUGGACCCUUGAUGAUACAGUCACUGAUAUGGAAAACUCUAGAAUCACUCUGUUAGCAAACAUGUAAGGUAUUACAUUCCUGUAGUCUUCAAAACAGAGUUGUCUGAUACUUAUAAAUAAAGUCAUCCUACCCAGUACUAACU